rnacentral:rRNA from 1 species
UACGUAGGGUGCAAGCGUUGUCCGGAAUUAUUGGGCGUAAAGAGCUCGUAGGCGGUUUGUCGCGUCUGCUGUGAAAACUCGGGGCUUAACCCUGAGCCUGCUUCCGAUACGGGCAGACUAGAGUUCGGUAGGGGAGACUGGAAUUCCUGGUGUAGCGGUGAAAUGCGCAGAUAUCAGGAGGAACACCGGUGGCGAAGGCGGGUCUCUGGGCCGAUACUGACGCUGAGGAGCGAAAGCGUGGGGAGCAAACAGG